UACGUAGGCAGCGAGCGUUGUUCGGAAUUACUGGGCGUAAAGGGCGUGCAGGCGGUUUGUUAAGUGCAGGGUGAAAGCUCCCGGCUCAACUGGGAGAGGUCCUUGCAUACUGGCGAACUCGAGGGAGGCAGAGGAAAGUGGAAUUCCCGGUGUAGUGGUGAUAUGCGUAGAUAUCGGGAGGAACACCUGUGGCGAAAGCGGCGCACUGGACCACAACUGACGCUGAGGCGCGAAAGCUAGGGGAGCAAACAGG
rnacentral:rRNA from 1 species